rnacentral:misc_RNA from 1 species
GAAGAAUAAGAAAAAGGAAGAGGAUUUCUAGCCCAAAAAUCCCAUUUCGAUUCUCAAUAUGGCCUUCUCUGCAGCCAUCCCCGCCUACGAGAAUUCACUUCUUCUCAAGAAAUCCUCCUUCAAUGGCCUCAGGAACCUCUCUAAAGCUAUCCCAUGUAGCCACCUCAAGUUUCUUGCGCCUAUGAAGACGAAAGCAGCCACCCUGGUGGUUUCGGCAUCAAGCUCCUCCGUGGCGCAGCCACUUGAGGAAGCUCAAGAAUCCAUCAACGAUAUGUCACCAAAGAUCCAUCUUCCUGAAUUCCCAUUUCAGGAAUACAUGGCCACUAAAGCCAAGCAUGUCAAUAAGGCACUAGACGAGGCUAUUCCUCAGCAACAUCCCUUGAAAAUCCAUGACGCUAUGAGAUAUUCUCUUCUAGCCGGCGGCAAACGUGUCCGUCCAGUCUUGUGUAUUGCUGCUUGCGAGUUGGUUGGAGGAGAUGAGGCAACAGCUAUGCCAGCGGCUUGUGCAAUGGAGA